rnacentral:rRNA from 1 species
UCUGGUAAUGAUGGCGAAAUGGUCACACCUGUUCCCAUACCGAACACAGAAGUUAAGCAUUUCAGCGGCGAUUAUAGCUAUGCACGCCAUAGUGAAACUAGCUCGUUGCCAGGUAACCUUGGAUAUCCCUUGCGGAUAUCCUUUUUUCUUGCGUUUUU